rnacentral:rRNA from 1 species
UACGUAGGGUGCAAGCGUUGAUCGGAAUUACUGGGCGUAAAGCGUGCGCAGGCGGUUGGGCAAGACCGAUGUGAAAGCCCCGGGCUUAACCUGGGAAUGGCAUUGGUGACUGCACGGCUAGAGUGUGUCAGAGGGGGGUAGAAUUCCACGUGUAGCAGUGAAAUGCGUAGAGAUGUGGAGGAAUACCGAUGGCGAAGGCAGCCCCCUGGGAUAACACUGACGCUCAUGCACGAAAGCGUGGGGAGCAAACAGG